CUAGAUGAGCAUCAGAUGCCAAUUUUUCAGGCAGUGCCUUGGACAACAGCAACUUUGGAGGCCCCAGUUGCCAGCGCCUGGGACCUAAGUGUGGAAGAGCCCUUCCGGAACCCGGCGGAAGUAGGACUACUGCAGGAAGUUGGCGUCUUAGUCCAGGCCUGCUUCACCAUGUCCAAGGUUUCCUUUAAGAUCACGCUGACGUCGGACCCGCGGCUGCCCUACAAAGUACUCAGUGUUCCUGAAAGUACACCUUUCAUAGCAGUCUUAAAGUUUGCAGCAGAAGAGUUUAAAGUUUCUGCAGCCACAAGUGCAAUUAUUACCAAUGAUGGAAUAGGAAUAAAUCCUGCACAGACUGCUGGAAAUGUUUUCCUAAAGCAUGGUUCAGAACUGCGAAUUAUUCCUAGAGAUCGUGUUGGAAGUUGUUAAUAUCCUCUACAUAAAGAUAGAAUUACCUUUCAAAAUAAAUAUUGGGUAUUGCUGUUGUAAAACUGACAUCAGGCAUUUAAAAUACUAUGAAAACAUCAAUAAUUGAUGAAAUAAUGAAAGACUUUAAAACAGGAAUUUUCAAGAAACAUUGUCUUUCUGGGGAUAUUUGGAAACUACAUUGAGCAAGAGCCUAUUGUAAAGAAGAUCUGAAAUUCACAACAAAGAUCAAGAAAAUGCUAGUGGAAAUAAUGAUUAAUUAUACUCACUGAAGGUCCUACAUUUAAGGAAAUGUUAAGAUUAAUCAAGUGAAUAAGAAGCCAAGAAAGGGAAGAUGGCUAAGCCCAGGUAGCAAAAAACAACAGUGAAGGGGAACAGAAAGCUGUCGAAAAGUGUAGUCACAAAAGCCAGCUGGAUAGGCAAAAGUGCAGAGGCUGUGUUGUGUUGGGAGAACAGAAGGGGAUAAUAGAGAAUGUCAUAAGUAGCAGAAGACAAUUGAAAAAGCAAAUUAUAGGCCUUUUCAACAUACAGAUUUGAAAAUUCCCUUUAUGAGAAUCUAAAGAAUGAUAUACCUAAGGAAUGUUUUUAUUUUCUCUUACAGCAGAAAUCAAUAACUAUUCAAAUCUUUAAAAAUGAAAUGAAGGCUCAUAGUGAUUCAGAAUCAGUGCUCAAUUUGCUGUAUUUUACAAUAGAUGGUGAGCUCUCUGGAGCAGGCCUUGUGUUUGUCUUGCUCUUUCUAAACCUGAAAAUAUAGUAGGCUUUCAAUAAAUACUUGGUGAAUUAUUCAUAAAUAAAAUAUCUCUAAGAC